rnacentral:rRNA from 1 species
UACGUAGGGGGCAAGCGUUGUCCGGAAUCAUUGGGCGUAAAGAGCGUGUAGGCGGCCAGAUAAGUCCGCUGUGAAAUCUCGAGGCUCAACCUCGAGACGUCGGCGGAAACCAUCCAGCUAGAGUCCGGAAGAGGAGAGUGGAAUUCCUGGUGUAGCGGUGAAAUGCGCAGAUAUCAGGAAGAACACCCGUGGCGAAAGCGGCUCUCUGGGACGGUACUGACGCUGAGACGCGAAAGCGUGGGGAGCGAACAGG